UACCCGCGCCAGGACGGAAAGACCCCAUGGAGCUUUACUCCAGCCUGAUACUGGGAUUCGGUAUUGCAUGUACAGGAUAGGUGGGAGGCUGAGAACUCAUGGCGCCAGCCGUGAGGGAGCCGGUGUUGGGAUACCACCCCUGCAGUACUGGGUUUCUAACCUGCGCCCGUGACCCGGGCGGGGGACAAUGUCAGGCGGGGAGUUUGACUGGGGCGGUCGCCUCCGAAAGGGUAUCGGAGGCGCUCAAAGGUCUCCUCAGGAUGGUUGGAAACCAUCCAGAGAGUGCAAAGGCAGAAGGAGGCUUGACUGCGACACCGACGGGUGGAGCAGGUACGAAAGUAGGACUUAGUGAUCCGGUGGCAUAAAGUGGGAUUGCCAUCGCUCAACGGAUAAAAGCUACCCUGGGGAUAACAGGCUUAUCACUCCCAAGAGUUCACAUCGACGGAGUGGUUUGGCACCUCGAUGUCGGCUCAUCGCAUCCUGGAGCUGGAGCAGGUUCCAAGGGUUGGGCUGUUCGCCCAUUAAAGCGGUACGCGAGCUGGGUUCAGAACGUCGUGAGACAGUUCGGUCCCUAUCCGGCGCGGGCGCAGGAUAUCUGAGAGGAGCUGUCCUUAGUACGAGAGGACCGGGAUGGACCGUCCGCUGGUGGACCGGUUGUCAUGCCAAUGGCACGGCCGGGUAGCCAAGACGGGAAGGGAUAAACGCUGAAGGCAUCUAAGCGUGAAGCCCCCCUCAAGAUGAGAUAUCCAUACUCGAAAGAGUGAGAGACCCCUUAGAGACGAUGAGGUAGAUAGGGCAGAGAUGGAAGCACAGCGAUGUGUGGAGUUGACUGUUACUAAUCGGUCGA
rnacentral:rRNA from 1 species